CCCAGACUCCUACGGGAGGCAGCAGUGGGGAAUAUUGGGCAAUGGGCGCAAGCCUGACCCAGCAACGCCGCGUGAAGGAAGAAGGCUUUCGGGUUGUAAACUUCUUUUAAGAGGGAAGAGUAGAAGACGGUACCUCUUGAAUAAGCCACGGCUAACUACGUGCCAGCAGCCGCGGUAAUACGUAGGGGGCAAGCGUUAUCCGGAUUUACUGGGUGUAAAGGGGGCGCAGACGGCAGCGCAAGCCAGGAGUGAAAGCCCGGGGCCCAACCCCGGGACUGCAUUGGAAACUGUCAGGCUAGAGUGUCGGAGAGGCAAGUGGAAUUCCUAGUGUAGCGGUGAAAUGCGUAGAUAUUAGGAGGAACACCAGUGGCGAAGGCGGCUUGCUGGACGAUGACUGACGUUGAGGCUCGAAAGCGUGGGGAGCAAACAGGAUUAGAUACCCCUGUAU
rnacentral:rRNA from 1 species